UACGUAGGGGGCAAGCGUUGUCCGGAUUUAUUGGGCGUAAAGAGCGUGUAGGCGGCCGUACAGGUCAGCUGUGAAAACUCGAGGCUCAACCUCGAGACGUCGGUUGAAACCGUACGGCUAGAGUCCGGAAGAGGAGAGUGGAAUUCCCGGUGUAGCGGUGAAAUGCGUAGAUAUCAUUUGGAACGCCAAUGGCGAAAGCAGGCAACUGGGGCUGUACCGACGCUGAGACACGAAAGCCAGGGGAGCGAACGGG
rnacentral:rRNA from 1 species